UAGGCGACCGGGUGAGUAACACGUGACUAACCUACCUUCGAGUGGGGGAUAACCUCGGGAAACCGGGGCUAAUACCGCAUAAUAUCUUCGGGAUGAGAAGCCGAAGAUCAAAGGAGCAAUUCGCUGGAAGAGGGAGUCGCGGCUGAUUAGCUAGUUGGCGGGGUAAUGGCCCACCAAGGCUUUGAUCGGUAGCCGGCCUGAGAGGGCGCACGGCCACACUGGAACUGAAACACGGUCCAG
rnacentral:rRNA from 1 species